rnacentral:misc_RNA from 1 species
AACGCACGAGACCUGCGGACCUGCGGAGGGAUCAUUAAUGAGAAGCUGCCCCUCGUGGGUAGACCUCCCACCCUCUGUGAACUUACCUUUGUCGCUUUGGCAGGCCCGUCCUCUGGACCGCCGGCUUCGGCUGGCCCGUGCCUGCCAGAGGAUUCCAAACCCUGUCUGUCAGUGUUGUCUGAGUCUAUAUGAAAUCGUUAAAACUUUUAACAAUGGAUCUCUAGAUCGGAAGAGCACACG